AAAAAUUAGAUUAUUAUUUAAUAAAUUAUUAUUUUUAUACYUUAUAGAAAUUUUUUAUUUUUAGUAUGAUAUAGAAAAAUUUUUUUUUAUGAUAGAUUAAUAUGUAAUGUAAAUGAAUAGCUUAUUUGUUUAAAAGAAUAUUUUAUUUAUUGUAUCUUGUGUAUCAGAGUUUAUUUAAAAUAAUUUAAUUAUUUAAAAAUCUCGAAAUUUUAAGAGUUAUAUUAUUAAAUUAUUAAUGUUUUAUAAUUUUUAUUAAAUUUAAUAUAGAAAUGAAAAGUUAAUCGUUUAAAAUUAUAUCUAGUUUUUUUAGAGUGAAUUUAAUUUGUUAUAAUUUAUAAAAUUGAUUUGAAUUAUUCAAUUUUUUAGGGAUAAUCUUGAAAAAUAUAUUAAAUUUAUUAAAAAAUUGAAUUAAUUUAUAGGAAUAGAAUUUUUCAUUAUUUAAUUUUUUAUAAAUAAUUUAUUAUAGAAAAAAGAUUUUUUAGUUUUUUAAGUUUUUUAUAAAAAUAUUAUUUUUAACUAUUUAGAAUAAGUGAAAGUGAUAAAAUUAGUAAAUUUUAUUUAUUAAGUAGAUGUGAAUAAAAAAUUAUUUAUAUGAAUUAGACAAAAUUAUUUUUACCUGUUUAAUAAAAACAUGGUUGUUAGUAUAGAGUUAAUGAUCAGGCCUGCCCAUUGAAUUUUUAAAGGCUGCAGUAUAUUGACUGUACAAAGGUAGCGUAAUCWUUAGUUUUUUAAUUGAAAACUUGUAUGAAUGGCUUGAUAAAAAAUAAAUUUUAUUUAAAUUAAUAAUUGAAUUUUUUAUUUAAGUGAAAAAACUUAAAUGUUUAAGAAAGACGAUAAGACCCUAUAAAAUUUUAUUAAUUUUUAUAAUUUUGAAUUUUAUGAUUAAUUUGGUUGGGGAAAUUUUUCAUUAAAUUAAUGUUUGUUUUAAAUUAAUAUAAUAAUUUUAAAGAUUUUAGGAUUUAAAUUAGAAGAUUAAAAUUGCUUUAGGGAUAACAGCGUAAUAUUUUUUUAUAGUUCAUAUAGAAAAAAAGGUUUGCGACCUCGAUGUUGGAUUUAAAUAUUAGUAUAAAUGAAGAUUUUUAUAUUAUUAGUCUGUUCGACUUAAUAUUUAACAUGAUCUGAGUUAAAAUCGGUGUGAGCCAGAUUGGUUUCUAUCUUCUUAAAUUUAUAGUUUUAAAGUACGAAAGGAAAUUUAAAUAUUAAGGAUACUUAUAUAAAAGUGAAUAAGAUUAUUUAUUUUUUUGAUAAGUYU
rnacentral:rRNA from 1 species